rfam:Tumebacillus algifaecis strain THMBR28 chromosome, complete genome.
GCCGAUGUAGCUCAGUUGAUAGAGCAAUCGAUUCGUAAUCGAUAGGUCGCAGGUUUGAGUCCUGUCAUCGGCA